GACACCACUCGCCCCGUCCCCCUUUUUUCCUUCUUCUCGAGGGAGAGAGGGGGGGCGCCGGGGCGGGACUCUGCGUGUUCCGGGAGCCGCGAGCCUCCGAGUGCCACCGAACCUCGUGAACGAGACCUCCUCCCAUCAUUGUUAGCAUGUGCGACUGCCGGGCAGGGACUUAAUUGGGCGGGAGUUGUUGACGGCGUGUUGCUCGCUCGAGCGACACGACUCUCGACUCCCAAAAACCCCCGAGUUUCGUGUUGUCGGUGGUGUUUUUACCGUACAUCAUUUAGUGAGAGGAUCAUCAGUUAGUUCCGGUUGCCUAAUCACCCACUUACUCGAUAGGUAGGUGAAGAACUACCCAACUUUCG
rnacentral:misc_RNA from 1 species